GGGUUGUGAGGUUAAGCGACUAAGCGUACACGGUGGAUGCCCUGGCAGUCAGAGGCGAUGAAGGGCGUGCUAAUCUGCGAUAAGCGCCGGUAAGGUGAUAUGAACCGUUAUAACCGGCGAUACCCGAAUGGGGAAACCCAGUGUGAUUCGUCACACUAUCAUUAACUGAAUCCAUAGGUUAAUGAGGCGAACCGGGGGAACUGAAACAUCUAAGUACCCCGAGGAAAAGAAAUCAACCGAGAUUCCCCCAGUAGCGGCGAGCGAACGGGGAGGAGCCCAGAGCCUGAAUCAGCAUGUGUGUUAGUGGAAGCGUCUGGAAAGGCGCGCGAUACAGGGUGACAGCCCCGUACACAAAAGCGCAUGUGCUGUGAGCUCGAUGAGUAGGGCGGGACACGUGGUAUCCUGUCUGAAUAUGGGGGGACCAUCCUCCAAGGCUAAAUACUCCUGACUGACCGAUAGUGAACCAGUACCGUGAGGGAAAGGCGAAAAGAACCCCGGCGAGGGGAGUGAAAAAGAACCUGAAACCGUGUACGUACAAGCAGUGGGAGCACCCUUCGGGGUGUGACUGCGUACCUUUUGUAUAAUGGGUCAGCGACUUAUAUUCUGUAGCAAGGUUAACCGUAUAGGGGAGCCGGAGGGAAACCGAGUCUUAACCGGGCGUUAAGUUGCAGGGUAUAGACCCGAAACCCGGUGAUCUAGCCAUGGGCAGGUUGAAGGUUGGGUAACACUAACUGGAGGACCGAACCGACUAAUGUUGAAAAAUUAGCGGAUGACCUGUGGCUGGGGGUGAAAGGCCAAUCAAACCGGGAGAUAGCUGGUUCUCCCCGAAAGCUAUUUAGGUAGCGCCUCGUGAAUUCAUCUCCGGGGGUAGAGCACUGUUUCGGCUAGGGGGCCAUCCCGGCUUACCAACCCGAUGCAAACUGCGAAUACCGGAGAAUGUUAUCACGGGAGACACACGGCGGGUGCUAACGUCCGUCGUGAAGAGGGAAACAACCCAGACCGCCAGCUAAGGUCCCAAAGUCAUGGUUAAGUGGGAAACGAUGUGGGAAGGCCCAGACAGCCAGGAUGUUGGCUUAGAAGCAGCCAUCAUUUAAAGAAAGCGUAAUAGCUCACUGGUCGAGUCGGCCUGCGCGGAAGAUGUAACGGGGCUAAACCAUGCACCGAAGCUGCGGCAGCGAACGUAUCACCCAAGACAACUUUACGGAGUUGACGAUUGACGGAGCGAAGCGACGUCAAAGCGUUCAUUAAAGUCGAGUUGGCUUAGGGAUACGUUCGUUGGGUAGGGGAGCGUUCUGUAAGCCUGUGAAGGUGUGUCGUGAGGCAUGCUGGAGGUAUCAGAAGUGCGAAUGCUGACAUAAGUAACGAUAAAGCGGGUGAAAAGCCCGCUCGCCGGAAGACCAAGGGUUCCUGUCCAACGUUAAUCGGGGCAGGGUGAGUCGACCCCUAAGGCGAGGCCGAAAGGCGUAGUCGAUGGGAAACGGGUUAAUAUUCCCGUACUUGGUGUUACUGCGAAGGGGGGACGGAGAAGGCUAUGUUGGCCGGGCGACGGUUGUCCCGGUUUAAGCGUGUAGGUGUGUGUUCCAGGUAAAUCCGGUUCACUUUAACACUGAGGCGUGACGACGAGGCACUACGGUGCUGAAGCAACAAAUGCCCUGCUUCCAGGAAAAGCCUCUAAGCAUCAGGUAACAUCAAAUCGUACCCCAAACCGACACAGGUGGUCAGGUAGAGAAUACCAAGGCGCUUGAGAGAACUCGGGUGAAGGAACUAGGCAAAAUGGUGCCGUAACUUCGGGAGAAGGCACGCUGACACGUAGGUGAAGUGAUUUACUCAUGGAGCUGAAGUCAGUCGAAGAUACCAGCUGGCUGCAACUGUUUAUUAAAAACACAGCACUGUGCAAACACGAAAGUGGACGUAUACGGUGUGACGCCUGCCCGGUGCCGGAAGGUUAAUUGAUGGGGUCAGCGCAAGCGAAGCUCCUGAUCGAAGCCCCGGUAAACGGCGGCCGUAACUAUAACGGUCCUAAGGUAGCGAAAUUCCUUGUCGGGUAAGUUCCGACCUGCACGAAUGGCGUAAUGAUGGCCAGGCUGUCUCCACCCGAGACUCAGUGAAAUUGAACUCGCUGUGAAGAUGCAGUGUACCCGCGGCAAGACGGAAAGACCCCGUGAACCUUUACUAUAGCUUGACACUGAACAUUGAGCCUUGAUGUGUAGGAUAGGUGGGAGGCUUUGAAGUGUGGACGCCAGUCUGCAUGGAGCCGACCUUGAAAUACCACCCUUUAAUGUUUGAUGUUCUAACGUGGACCCGUAAUCCGGGUUGCGGACAGUGUCUGGUGGGUAGUUUGACUGGGGCGGUCUCCUCCUAAAGAGUAACGGAGGAGCACGAAGGUUGGCUAAUCCUGGUCGGACAUCAGGAGGUUAGUGCAAUGGCAUAAGCCAGCUUGACUGCGAGCGUGACGGCGCGAGCAGGUGCGAAAGCAGGUCAUAGUGAUCCGGUGGUUCUGAAUGGAAGGGCCAUCGCUCAACGGAUAAAAGGUACUCCGGGGAUAACAGGCUGAUACCGCCCAAGAGUUCAUAUCGACGGCGGUGUUUGGCACCUCGAUGUCGGCUCAUCACAUCCUGGGGCUGAAGUAGGUCCCAAGGGUAUGGCUGUUCGCCAUUUAAAGUGGUACGCGAGCUGGGUUUAGAACGUCGUGAGACAGUUCGGUCCCUAUCUGCCGUGGGCGCUGGAGAACUGAGGGGGGCUGCUCCUAGUACGAGAGGACCGGAGUGGACGCAUCACUGGUGUUCGGGUUGUCAUGCCAAUGGCACUGCCCGGUAGCUAAAUGCGGAAGAGAUAAGUGCUGAAAGCAUCUAAGCACGAAACUUGCCCCGAGAUGAGUUCUCCCUGAGACUUAGAGUCUCCUGAAGGAACGUUGAAGACGACGACGUU
rnacentral:rRNA from 1 species